GUCGAGCGAGCGGAACUAACAGAUUUACUUCGGUAAUGACGUUAGGAAAGCGAGCGGCGGAUGGGUGAGUAACACGUGGGGAACCUGCCCCAUAGUCUGGGAUACCACUUGGAAACAGGUGCUAAUACCGGAUAAGAAAGCAGAUCGCAUGAUCAGCUUUUAAAAGGCGGCGUAAGCUGUCGCUAUGGGAUGGCCCCGCGGUGCAUUAGCUAGUUGGUAAGGUAAAGGCUUACCAAGGCGAUGAUGCAUAGCCGAGUUGAGAGACUGAUCGGCCACAUUGGGACUGAGACACGGCCCAAACUCCUACGGGAGGCAGCAGUAGGGAAUCUUCCACAAUGGACGCAAGUCUGAUGGAGCAACGCCGCGUGAGUGAAGAAGGUUUUCGGAUCGUAAAGCUCUGUUGUUGGUGAAGAAGGAUAGAGGUAGUAACUGGCCUUUAUUUGACGGUAAUCAACCAGAAAGUCACGGCUAACUACGUGCCAGCAGCCGCGGUAAUACGUAGGUGGCAAGCGUUGUCCGGAUUUAUUGGGCGUAAAGCGAGCGCAGGCGGAAGAAUAAGUCUGAUGUGAAAGCCCUCGGCUUAACCGAGGAACUGCAUCGGAAACUGUUUUUCUUGAGUGCAGAAGAGGAGAGUGGAACUCCAUGUGUAGCGGUGGAAUGCGUAGAUAUAUGGAAGAACACCAGUGG
rnacentral:rRNA from 1 species